UCCUGUGGACUAGAAAUGGAGGUGCAGCU
rnacentral:piRNA from 1 species